CUGAAGUAAUAAAAGAGGCAUUGAUUCACAGAAUGCAUGUAAAAGUCGAAGCAUACACAGAUCACGUACUUCAAAUUUUACAUACCUUAAGUCAACCGGAAGAAACAAUUUAAAGUACCUAAAAUACCCAGCUGAAUAAAAUGCAAUCCUUGGACAGCAUAACGCUUCAGCCUAUCAGUUAGGGAUGACUUGUCACUAACAGUCUGUGCAACUAAGUACCAACGUAGUGACAUUGUUUGUUCAACAGUGGCAGAUAUUCCUACGAACAACAUUGUGAUACAGAAGGGUAGAUACUGUCCAUGAGAGUACAAGGCAUAUCCCAUGACAACAUCAAAUACAAUGUUACAAAAGUAUGCAGCCAACGAGAUAACAUUGAACAAGACAUCGCACAACGGUAGGAAUUCAUAUUGGGCCAUGGAGCGAUUGAUUGAUCAUGAUUUGGUGCACUGAUUGUUUGAGACGGACCGCCUUGGAGACUUCAAUGCGAUGGUGUUCAAGUCAUUUUUUAAUAAAUAUCAACUUUAUAAAUACAAGAUUGUAUAUAAUAUAAUUCGUAUUAAAACUACACUAUUUUGAAAUUAAAAUAUCACAAAUUUUACUUUUGUUAAAACUUGUAAUUGAACUGUUAUUGUUAUUAUCUUUCUUCGUCUUGCGUUAAAAGAUUCUGCGGUGCGUACAUUCCUCACGCGUUGCGCAUACCUACCAACAGGUAGCAGGUCUCUGCAAGACCCCGUGGGUAAAAACCCCUCCACUAAAACGAGUGUUCAAACAUGUUACUGUCUACCCGAAGUCUAGAACGUCGAUACUGUUAGCAUUUGGAUUGGCUGUUGCGUGUAGAUUAUAUAGUAUAUCCAGUUAAAAAAAGUUAUUCUUGUAAUAAUUUUAUUAACGGGACGGAUUGAACGAUUUAAAAUAAAAUUUUGUUGAGAAAACAUCUUUAACGAGAUAUUUCAGUCGGUUUUAAUUUAUUCAAAUUGUCAAUACUAUCGUACAACAAAAUUAAUGUAAUCUAAAUAAACUAAUGUAAUAUUAGGAUUACGAAAAAAAGUGUUAAUGCAAUGAAAUUGUUAGGUUUUUGGCUCUGUAGGCUAAAUUAUUCUGGAUGUCUAUUCUAGUUGUGACGCAGGAUUUUUUCAAGGGGUGUUUGGUUUGGUUGGGUUAAGUUUGGGGCC